AAAUAGAUACAACAUUUCAGACCAAUUUGUUUGCUUAAUGCCAGUUUCAAAAUAAUUAUUAAAGUGCUUAUGAACAGGUUAGGGUUAUGUGUCUCCCCAGUUAUCGCUCCUACUCAGACUGCUUUUAUUAAGGGGAGGUGCAUUAUGGAAGGAAUAGUGAUCUUGCAUGAGGCCUUGAACACUAUACACACUAAAAAAUAGAGUGCUUUGAUUUUUAAAGUGGAUUUUGGAAAAGCCUAUGAUAAAAUCAAAUGGCCCUUUGUGCUUAAGAUGUUGAAACUUAAAGGGUUUCCAGACAAAUGGUGUGAUUGGGUGAUGAUGACUAUGAGAGGAGGGCAAGUUGGGGUUAGGGUUAAUGACAAGAUUGGUCCUUAUUUCAAAACAUUUAAGGGGUUGAGGCUAGGAGAUGUUAUGUCUCCCUCAUUGUUUGUUCUGGCAGCUGAGUUGCUCUAG
rnacentral:rRNA from 1 species